GUACAUUAGUGCUUGCGCACGACAAUAAUUUCAUUACAUGCGAGUGGGUGUAAAAAUCCUCUGCCAGCCGAAGCUAGCAAGAGGCCAAAGGUUCACAGGGUAGUAGUGGAUGAAAGCCACCAACGUGCACUUGCUCGCGAGAGCCAGCACCGAAGGUAACCAUUCGCAAUCAUUAAUGAUCCUUCCGCAGGUUCACCUACGGAAA
rnacentral:misc_RNA from 1 species